rnacentral:siRNA from 1 species
UCGAAUAGCGUGUCGAAGCGGA